ACACGGGGGGCGCAAGCGUUAUUCGGAAUUAUUGGGCGUAAAGGGCGUGUAGGCGGUUUUAUCGGUCAGAUGUGAAAGCCCAGGGCUCAACCCUGGACGUGCAUUUGAAACAGUAAGAUUUGAGUACGGUAGAGGAAAGCGGAAUUCCUGGUGUAGAGGUGAAAUUCGUAGAUAUCAGGAGGAACACCGAUGGCGAAGGCAGCUUUCUGGACCGAAACUGACGCUGAUGCGCGAAGGCGUGGGUAGCGAACAGGAUUAGAUACCCGGGUAGUCC
rnacentral:rRNA from 1 species